AGAUUGAACGCUGGCGGCAGGCCUAACACAUGCAAGUCGAGCGGUAGAGAGGUGCUUGCACCUCUUGAGAGCGGCGGACGGGUGAGUAAAGCCUAGGAAUCUGCCUGGUAGUGGGGGAUAACGCUCGGAAACGGACGCUAAUACCGCAUACGUCCUACGGGAGAAAGCAGGGGACCUUCGGGCCUUGCGCUAGUCAGAUGAGCCUAGGUCGAUUAGCUAGUUGGUGAGGUAACUGGCUCACCAAGGCACGAUCCGUAACUGGUCUGAGAGGAUGAUCAGUCACACUGGAACUGAGUACCACGGUCCAGACUCUACGGGAGCAGCGAGUGGGAAUAGUGGACGAAGUGGGACGAAAGCCUAGA
rnacentral:rRNA from 1 species